rnacentral:lncRNA from 1 species
CUCACAAAUGAGUUUUUCGAGAAAAAAUUUUGAUGAACAAAAAAUCCCUUGAAAAUUAUUUUUGACUAAAAAAAGCUAUUUUUUUUUGAAAAAAAUAAUUGUGUCUAGAUCUCUGGCAAUGGUACCAAAAUUUGAUCAUUAUUAUAGGCAGUUAAGAAUAAAAACUAACUUAAACUAUAUAGAUAGGAUGAGUCGGGAUCGUAUCAUCCGAGAUUUUAGAUAAUUAUUUCAUAAAAAAAAUAAUAAAAAAGAAUUGAUUAUGAAAAAUUUAAAAAUAAAAUAGCAAGAAUUAAACUGUAAGUUUAAAGGAUUUUGUGAAUGAAAACAAGCUAAAGAGAUAAUUCAAAAAUUUCAAAUCCAUCAUGUAAAAUAGAUUUUAUUUUUUAUUUUUUUUAUGUUAUAAUAUUAAUUCUUAUGAUUAGGAUAUUAGUAUAGGUUAUCUUUGAGAGGUAUGGACCAUAUCCACAGAUCACGACUCAUCCAUUUAGAGUAUAAACUAUCUAAAUCUAAUUAUAAGAUAUAGGGUUAAUCUAACAUAUUACGAUCUAUCUCUUUUAGGCACGUACCAUAUCCAGAGAUCACGAUAUGUCUAUAGAAGGUAUAAACCAUGCAGGCUAGAUUAAUACUUCAGAAAAAUAAAAAGAUAGAAAAUAAAAGUAUAAUUUUAUUAUAUAAAAAUUAUUUAUAGGCUUCAUCAUAUUUUUGAGUUGGAGGUGUUUAGCCAUGCAUAGGGAUCUUCAGCUCUUCCUCCAUAUUUUUUUUCUUUCUCCCAAAGCCUAAAACAAUAUCUAGAAAAGAAAAGAAAAGCUCUGCUGUCGCUCUCUACCCUAUUGCUUCCGCUUUCUCUGUUUUGUAUUCUCUUGAUGCAGUUCCAUCUUUUUAUAGCAUGAAAACUGGCUGAAAUCGGAUUGUAUUGGGUCUUUUAAUCCUCUUCAAACUCCUCAACUCAUGCCCGCCAUCAAAUCUUGAUCAAAAGGCUAAAAAAUAGCUUAAAAAUGUCUCAAAUCAAGUC